rnacentral:rRNA from 1 species
UACGGGGGGGGGCAAGCGUUGUUCGGAAUUACUGGGCGUAAAGGGCUCGUAGGUGGCCAACUAAGUCAGACGUGAAAUCCCUCGGCUUCAACCGGGGAACUGCGUCUGAUACUGGAUGGCUUGAGUUCGGGAGAGGGAUGCGGAAUUCCAGGUGUAGCGGUGAAAUGCGUAGAUAUCUGGAGGAACACCGGUGGCGAAGGCGGCAUCCUGGACCGAGAUUGACGCUGAGGCGCGAAAGCCAGGGGAGCAAACGGG